rnacentral:snoRNA from 1 species
CAAUUUGAUUUGAGAAACCUGGGCAGUUACUGUCUGCUGCAAGGUUUCCACUAAAGAAUGUAAGAAAAAAAGCCUCACCAUGCUUUCUGUCUGUCUGAUUGUGGCAGCCAAGAUUUAAUGGGGGGAAUACAGGA